rnacentral:rRNA from 1 species
UGGGGAAUCUUGGACAAUGGGCGCAAGCCUGAUCCAGCCAUGCCGCGUGGAUGAUGAAGGCCUUAGGGUUGUAAAAUCCUUUCGUGGGGGACGAUAAUGACGGUACCCCAAGAAGAAGCUCCGGCUAACUUCGUGCCAGCAGCCGCGGUAAUACGAAGGGGGCUAGCGUUGUUCGGAUUUACUGGGCGUAAAGCGCGUGUAGGCGGGUCGUUAAGUUGGGGGUGAAAUCCCGAGGCUCAACCUCGGAACUGCCUUCAAAACUGGCGACCUGGACCUAAGUAGAGGCAAGUGGAAUUGCGAGUGUAGAGGUGAAAUUCGUAGAUAUUCGCAGGAACACCAGUGGCGAAGGCGACUUGCUGGACUUAUGGUGACGCUGAGACGCGAAAGCGUGGGGAGCAAACAGGAUUAGAUACCCCAGUAGUCCCUGAGCGGGCUGGCAAGGCGCAU